rnacentral:misc_RNA from 1 species
UUUCCGUAGGUGAACCUGCGGAAGGAUCAUUUCCACACCAAAAAACAACUUUCCACGAGAACACGUACUUGACCUUAGAAGUUUGGCUCCCGUAACACGGAGCUAAACGAUGUGUAUACCCCCUUUUACUUAAUUUACUGAUGAAAUAACCCGGUAGAGUGAAAACUUUGCUGUAUAAUUUCUAUACAACUUUCAACAGUGGAUGUCUAGGCUCGC